rnacentral:rRNA from 1 species
UAGGGAAUCUCCCACAAUGGACGCAAGUCUGAUGGAGCAACGCCGCGUGAGUGAAGAAGGUCUUCGGAUCGUAAAGCUCUGUUGUUGGUGAAGAAGGAUAGAGGCAGUAACUGGUCUUUAUUUGACGGUAAUCAACCAGAAAGUCACGGCUAACUACGUGCCAC